GCCUGCCCGCUGCUCUGCUGUUGCUGCUGCCGGCACUUGGCCCGGCGGUUCUUGAACCAGACCUGCACGGGGAUGGACAAAGCAGAGAUUAGAUUAGAGCGAUCCGGACCGCGCCGCCACCCCCCAGUCUCAGCGAGACCCCAUCAUCAAAGCGUCACAGUGCCAAUAGGGUCGACAGAGGACAAAGAACAUUUACAAACACGAGGACCACGACCUUACUGUGGGUUUGGAGGCUCGCGAGCCUCAGUGACCCGGAGACCUACGCUGGCUGGAGUCGGGGCUUUAUGCUUUGGUUCCUGGUAGGGUCACCUGUGUCAAACAGGUCAAAGGGUAGAGGCCAGUCUGAGAGUGGUCCACCGGCCCUCCAGGCUUGGGGGUUCAGCUGAGGGCUAACAACCCUGACUGGUAAAACUAAACUGUUACGGGAACAGCAAUGGAGAAUCUUGCAUCUGUAUUCCCGAGUCUCCACCCGGGACUUGCAUGCCUGACGGGAGUGAAAACCGAGAGGAAGCUGCUGACAUGAUGAAGGAAGCCCUGAAUGCCACCGAAGAUGUAACAGGCAGUGAGCAAGGGUGAACGGGCUCUCUCAGUGCCCCUGGCCCGCAGCUGCAUUCAAACUGUGGUUCUUUGCGGUGGAGGGACCGGCACCUGGGGCUCAGUGUGGGGCCAUUUCUCGAUAUACCAAGGGCACGGUCCUGUGGAACAGCUGAUUCUGUGCUGGUGCCGCUGACUGAAGCGUCACGGGAGAAAACAGAAUAUUGGGAAGGGGCUUUGUAAUUCUUUGUCUCUCUCUCUCAUUGGCGGGGGAGAGUUUGUUGCCGAUUCUCGAGUUGGAGAACCCAGAAAAAGUGGUGCCGCAGACUUGAACACUGUAAAUCGUUGAGUGGCUUGUUUUUGUAGGUCUGCCCUCUCGCUGUGUGACAGCUCUCUGCCCCUCUAUUAGGGAGUCUGUGCCGUGUCAAAUUGCUGGGUGAGCAACGGUUUAUGUCGGACUGCAGAUCACGGUCUCUCUUUGGAGAGCUUUGCUGGUGGGUAGCGGGCACUGGUGCUUCCUGCUGAACUGCGGGCGGGGGGUAGGCUGAUGCUUUGCUAAAGUUUGUGGAGAAGGCGGCUUGGGGAUUCUAGUAUUUCCACUGUCACUCAUUCUUUGGAGUACUCUUCUGGUUUUUCAUGGACGUCUGUGAAGGGCAAGAAUUUCAGAUUGUAUAUUGUAUACCUUCUCCAAUAAUAAAUGGAACUAUUAAAUGAC